CUACACUCCAGCCUGGGCUACAAGAGUGAAACUCCAACUUAAAAUAAAUAAAUAAAUCAAGUUUUGUCUUAAACAUGAAAUGCUUAACCAACUGGAAUCACUCUGCUUGAAUGCACUUAAUAACAGAAUAGUCACAGUACCUUCAAUUGAUAUGCACACUCUCACUCUUUGCCUAGUCAGAACUUUUCGGACCCUCUGCUUCCAGGGAGAAAUAGACUGCACUGAUUCCUGAUGAGUGCUGUUGGGCCAGAAGUUCUCGGAUGCUCAGCUUGGAGUCGGCAGAGGCUCCGCCAACUCCUCAGGAAUUACUUGUAUGUUCGGGAUGCAAGAUCCUGGGGAAUUACAAAAAAGAUAGCUGUUGAAAUCUUACAGGCAGAAGACCAUAGAUAAAUUAGUAAUACUUUACUCACAGAUCAAACUUUUUUUUUUUUUGAGAUGGAGUCUUGCUAUGUUGCCCAGGCUGGAGUGCAGUGGUGUAGUCUGGGCUGAUUGCCAUCUCCGCCUCCUGGGUUCAAGCGAUUCGCCCGCCUCAGCCUCCCAAGUAGUUGGGAUUACAGGCAUGCGCCUAGAACAAAGAAGAUAGAAAAGAGGGCACAUUCAGCUUGCUGGGCUUUCCUGUUCAUGCUCACUCUGUCUCUCCGGAAGAGGGUCACCUUUUCCUAUCCUCCUGUCUUUGGACUUGAAACUCCAUGAUUUGGGCCUUUGUAUUCUGCUACUUGCACCAGCAAACACAAAGGAUUCUCAAAUCUUGGACCUCAGACUGGGAGCUGCAGUGAAAGUUUCCGUUGUUUUCAGGCUUUUGCACAUAAACAAAUCCACAUGGCUGGUUCCCCUGGGAGCCACACUACUGCUGCUUUUUCUCAUUCUCCAGCUUGCAGAUGACCUGCUGUGGGACUUUGCCUUGCAAUUAGGUGAGCCAAUUCUCCCUAUAAAUUCCCAUUUACAACACACACACACACACACAUAUGUACACACACACACACGUAUAUACACACACAAGACUUACUUAUCCUGAAUACAUAUGCACCCAACAGUGGAGCAGCCAGAUUCGCAGGUACUUGAAAGCUGAGAUGGGAGGAUCACUUGGGUCCGGGAGGUUGAGGCUGCAGUGAACUGUGAUUGCACCACUGCACUUCAUCCUGGGGGACAGAGUGAGACCCUGUCCAAAAAAAAAAGGGAGCUUCACAGGGGGAGGUCCACAUGCAUAGGUUGGGGAGUUCCUGCUCCCUGGUGUCCCACAAGGCACCCUUCUACCCUACCUGACCUGGGCUUAUGCUGACCAUGAGGUGAAUCAUCCUGCACUGUGCACUGUGACUGGC
rnacentral:lncRNA from 10 species